GACGAACGCUGGCGGCGUGCUUAACACAUGCAAGUCGAGCGGUAAGGCCCUUUCGGGGGUACACGAGCGGCGAACGGGUGAGUAACACGUGGGUGACCUGCCCUCAGCUCUGGGAUAAGCCUGGGAAACUGGGUCUAAUACUGGAUAUGACUCCACGGUGCAUGUCGUGGGGUGGAAAGCCUUGUGCGGCUGAGGAUGGGCCCGCGGCCUAUCAGCUUGUUGGUGGGGGAUGGCCUACCAAGGCGACGACGGGUAGCCGGCCUGAGAGGGCGACCGGCCACACUGGGACUGAGACACGGCCCAGACUCCUACGGGAGGCAGCAGUGGGGAAUCUUGCGCAAUGGGCGAAAGCCUGACGCAGCGACGCCGCGUGAGGGAUGACGGCCUG
rnacentral:rRNA from 1 species